GACGAACCGUGCAAACGUUGUUCGGAAUCACUGGGCUUAAAGGGCGCGUAGGCGGGUGAGCAAGUCCGGGGGUGAAAUCUUUCGGCUUAACCGGAAAAGUGCCUUGGAUACUGCUCGUCUGGAGGAAGGUAGGGGCAGGUGGAACUUCUGGUGGAGCGGUGAAAUGCGUUGAUAUCAGAAGGAACGCCGGUGGCGAAAGCGACCUGCUGGACCUUUUCUGACGCUGAGGCGCGAAAGCUAGGGGAGCAAACGGG
rnacentral:rRNA from 1 species